rnacentral:rRNA from 1 species
GACAGAGGAUGCAAGCGUUAUCCGGAAUGAUUGGGCGUAAAGCGUACCGAUAGGUUGUUUAUAAAGUCUUGGGUAAAAGCCGGAAGCUCAACUUCCGCGUUUGCUUAAGAUACUUAUAGACUAGAGGGGCAAAGAGGUGCUUGGAACCAACGGUGUAGUAGUGAAAUGCGUUGAUAUCGUUGGGAACACCGAAAGCGAAGGCAGAGCACUGGGUGCCACCUGACACUGCUAGGACGAAAGCGUGGGGAGCGAAUGGG